GUGGAGAGAGGCUAAGGAAGUUGAGCAAAUUCAAGGCCAAACAACGACCUAUAGAAAAUGCCGGUGUGGUACUUGAAACACCACCUUUGGUGGCAGUCUAAAAUCUUGCUAUAUUAUACAUGCUAAGAAGCUGGAGGAAUCGUCUGCAGAUGCAGGCAACAUUUUGCCUUUGUCCACCAAAAUUCCUGACAAAUCGGCUCUAGAAGGCAGUGAGGUUCGAUAUCAUCGGUAGAGGAUGGUUGCGUGUCUGAAUUUCAGCAUUCAUGUCAUGCGCGCCAAGUCGGGAUUCACUCAUUGAAAGAAGGGCAUGUAUCAAAAUUGGGCAUGUUUCUUCCACUGCAUCAACACAUGCCUCUUCUAAAUUAGGAAGCAUAAAUGAACUUGGGUUGAACUUUGAAUCCAUCCUCCUUUGGAAUUUUGUGUAAUCCUUCCUGCAAGUGGAAAAGAUGGAUUAAAAGGAAACGUGCCACUCCACCUUUACCGUCCAACGGACGAUUU
rnacentral:lncRNA from 1 species